GCGCCCCGCGCUGCGCGGGCGGCGGGAGCGCGCCGAGCCCGACGUGGUGGCGGACGGGCCGCCCGAGCUGGCCGGCGUGACGUUCGGGUUCGCCGUCAACGAGCAGCUGCUGCGCGCGCCCUGCGACCUGCUGCGCUCCGUGCCCACCACCUCGCCGCAGCUGCAUCAGAUCAUAGAAUACGUCGCCGCGGCUUGGGACGAAGUGGUGCGAUGCGGUAACGGCAAGGUGCGCUACUUCAGCGAGUAAGGUCGCGGCUUGCGGCACUCGUGUGGACGUUGUCUCGAAUAACUUCGAGCUGGACAAAUACUGUGUUUGUGAACGCAGCUCUGCCUCAUUAUUACUUGCUGCAUGCAUUCGGCGUCUUGUGUGAAGUGUCACAAAGUUGUCCCGCGUUGAAAUAAAAAUAAUUUUAUAAAUUACGUUUGUAUCUUGAAACGCUUUUAAUGGAUCAUACCAAAUAAAAAAUAAAAAAAAAAUAGUUUUGUGUGAAUGUUUUAGUGUAAUGCUAGUAAGUGAAACAUAUAUUGUUAAAGAUGCAUUGUGCUCUUGCGUCGUUUUAGUUCAAAAUGUAGAAGGUUGAUGUCUGUUCAGCCACUACAUAUCUUAUUUUUUUAAACUUAUCUGACCAAAACAACAUGAAAUAAACUCAAUCAUAUUCUUGUAAAUCUUGUCAAUAGCCGCUGUGAAGUACGUAAAUCCGUGGCCGUGUAGCCCGGUGUUGCUGUCAAUUGCGCAUAGUUCCCACUUGCAGCGUACUUCAGGGUGGAUCUGAAUAUUGAUUGAAGAUGAUUAGGGCGACCACACACAUUCAUUUUCUGAUUCAUACUAUAAUGAUGGUGAAAAUAAAUGGCUGUAGGGCUGCGGCGGUGUAGCUUACUAGUGGCUGGUUGUCGCGAAGUCGAAUCAUCAGAACUGUUUUCCGAACACAAAAAUAGAAACGCGUGUUUGUCGAAUAAUGUUUACAUUUUUUAUCGAAUAAGUGCAUUUGGAAAACUGAUCAGGCAAUCUAAAAAUGUAAUCGGGAAUUGAUUGUGUGCGGCCGCGUUUAUAUUUAUAUGUUUUAGUAUAAUUUAAUACAGUUAUUUUUAUUACAAUGCGAUGUUGAUUGUGCAAUAAAAGUUUUUUGCUUUUGCGGCUGUUACUGGCUCCAGACACAUUAACAAAGUCGAGCUAAAUAUAGAUUGAAUGUCACCCGUUUCUUGUGACAUAUUGAUGCAGUGCGUUAUUUAUGCUAUUAUAGUGUUUAUCAGAUAGUUUUUAUUGAAUUAUGUUUUUAAAACUUAAAAUACAGGCUGGAAUUUCAAGGUAAAGCUUCCUUAAUGGACUAAUAUUAAGUAUAUAUGUUUGUACGGUCAGCACACUUUGUGUCCAUUGACAUUGAGAAAGAGAGUAAUAAAAUCUAUCAUAUACAGGAUGUAAUCGGUUAGUUUGAUCAGGAUAUUAUUGCGUACGUUACGUUAUCUGUAAAAUGACAUCAAUAUCUUUUUAAAAAAGCGGCCAAGUGCGAGUCUGUCAGCGUUAAUCGCCUGGCCACAAUUACCUAUUACAUCCUGUAUAUUCAAUUAAUAAAUCAUUUAUUAUUUUAGUAGAAAUAAGUUGUCAAAGACAACUUUAUUCGCGCGCGAAAUCUAUAUAUCAUUUUUUGAUACCAUAAUAUAAAUCUAAGUUAUUUUGCAACAGUAAUGAUUUCGUGGCCAAACUAUCAAAUAUUUUUAUUAAAAUAAAACUGUCACACCUACUACCGUAGGAUAGGCAAGAAUAUGUAUACAUUUAUACGCGAUCUCUUCGAAGGAAAUCGCAUAGAUCUAUAAUAUAGUAGCGACACUGGGAAGCUUUGCCUGUGAAUAUUUGUAAAUUACCAAGCGAACAUUAUUUGUUGAUAUAUUAAUAAGAAUUAUGUGAAUUCGUUUAAAUUAUUAUUAUGUAUGUAUAACGUCCGUCAGAUUUUUAUGUAUUAAGAACAAAACUAUUCCUGCUAAUACAUAUAUCACGAAUAUAAAGGAGUUUACUACACUGCGGUGAGAUACCGCAUCUCGUGUAUGACAAGUAAAAUAUGUGAAGCCAUUGCAAUUACAAACCUUUAACGGUUUUCUGGUUAUUGCAACCUUUAAAAAAAACCCAACCAAAAUUUCCUCAGUCAUGCCAUUAAAGAAGGGUUGCCUUAAAGCCUUCUUACUCAGACAGAGAACCUACCCCACUUGAAACCCCUGAGGGUAAGAACCCUUAAAAGAGGGAAGAAAGAUCUUAAAAAAUAUAUGGCGUUGAGGAUAUGAUUUCUACACAGUUAAACUUCGACUUUGCAAAAUGUAUUGAUUUGUUAUAUUAAAGUCCCCUGUUGUUAUUUUGUUAUCCCUCACUUCAAGAAUUAAUUAAUCAAAUUAAUUUAUGAACGAUGCGGCACUCCGACCCGUGACCUCUCGGGUUUCGUCCGAGCCCUCUUACCAACUGAGCCAGCCAGAACUUGGUAAUCUCGGUCGGGGGUUCGAGUCCCGCAUCGUUCAUAAAUUUUGGUUACAAAUUUAAUUUCUAUAACGGCAUAAGUUUUUAUGGUACGUAAACGCGUCGCAGUGUUGUGGCCCGGCCCUAAUGCCGUAUUUUAAUUGUAUUUAAGCAGGUGUUUCAAAACUUAAUCAAUAAUAAUUAUUGUAUUUUGUCUUUGAUUUGAACACGACACCUGAUUAUGGAUUACGUGUUGAGACCGACCUACUGGUGGAUGGACUUUCGAAUCCGUCUCAAUUGAUUACGAAUCUACAAUUGAGAAUAUAAGAGUUAUUCUUCAGAUUCAUUCUUUUAGCGAUAUACAUCUUUAUUGUACAUAUAUAUACGUCACAAUUAUCUGUGCAGCUGAGAGACUAUCGCUGCGCACCCAGUUUGCAGUUCCCAUCAAAUAACAUGCACCGCUUCAGAGAGCAAUACGGGUCCUCACACGAAAUUGAGCCCCGUACAUAGUAGUAUAUAUAGUACAUUGUUUUAGACAAAUAUUGUAUCGAUGACUUAUCGCAUCGCGAACAGCAAGUAUUUGACAUAGCUAUAAUGUUGUGAUGGAUGAUUCGAUAUAGGCGGUAAAAUACCAUACAAAUGUCUUUCGGUUGCUCCGCGUUGGUCUCUCAGUGAAUAAGUAGAUUACUAUUAUAUUGCCACUAAAAAUAGGGAAUGAAAGGUUUAGAAUGCAUGCGAUAACGUAUAAUCAAAACUGCACAUCUGUGUUAUACCGCGAAUCUCUGAAAUUAAUAUUAAUUCAUACCUUCAUAAAUACGCGCGUAUUCCUUAAAAUCCGUUAAAGGACCUAUAGUUGAGGUGAUGAAGUGGCACCGGAAUAAGAAACAGUCGUGCUUGUCAUAUUUUGGUGACUAAUUUAUAAAAAUGUAGUUGGCUUAGGGGAAUUGAUAACAGCGCCAUCUACCGGUACAAAUUCUGGGAGCAUGUAAAGCAUCCAUCAAUAAAGGUCCAUAACCAAUAAAAUGUCGCCUAUAAACAACUUUGAUAGAUCUCUUCGAGCAAGCAACAUCAUAGACAAAGUUAUGUUAUGCUUAGAGCUUAUGAAAUUAAUGUCACUUUCUCGAAUUAUUUAUACUUUUUGGCGGCAUAGUUUUUGUAUACAUUUAAGUCGGCUGAAUGGUGAACAUGUAAAGGUCCAGAAUUCUGUUCCGUGUCUUUUCAGCAAAAAAUAAAAUAGAUAAUAUUUACAAUUUAAUGGGUUAUAUUCAAUUAAAUUUGAUAUUUGAAUUCAAUCGCAUUUUGGUUAUGGUAAUAGUAAUAAUUUCACUAGUGGAGGCUCCUUUGCACAGGAAGCCGGCUAGAUUAUGGAUACGACAAUGGCGCUUAUUUCUGUUGUGAGGCGGUAAUGUGUAAGCAUUAUUGUGUUUCAGUCUAAAAGCUAGUGAAAUGAGACUUAACAUCUUAUAUUAAGGUUGAAGAGAGGAGUAUGAUGAGGAUCAAGGUGACGAUCGCAAUUGUAGUGCCGCUCUGAGUUUUUGGGUUUUUCCAUAAUCCUGAGCGGCUCUGCAUUGUAAUGGGCAGGGCGUUUCAAUUACCAUGACGUUGAACGUCCUGCUCGUCUCAUCCUUUAUUAUCAUAGAAAAAAAUUUUAAAUGGAUUCAAUUCCAGCUCAGUAUAAGGAAAAAAAUAAGUUCAACAAUCGGCAAUAUUAUAUGAAAUACCUAUUUAUCCAGUUCCUACUGCAAGCUCACUACGCUUGUAUGGCUAGUCAAGAUUGACCUUCUUCGUCACUUGACGGUAAUUAAUCACCACCGGCCAUUUUCUCUUGAAACUGAGGUGAAAUUGUAGACAAUUAUUUAUUUAGUAACGGUUUCUAAGCUAAUUAAAAGGGAGAACCUACUCAUGCCAAAUCUAUAUAGAAACGCAAUCACUUUAGAACCUUAUUAUAAUUUUGUUAAUCAACCAUUGUAUACAGUGUCGGAAUAUUCGAGUGAGGUUCUGGUGAAAUUUAAUAAAAAAUAAUUGAAAUUAUGAUAGCUUUAGUUGAAGUUCCGCCGUGUGAUUUGUAAAUAAUAGGAAUCGGCGCUGUCUUUAAAAUAUGUAUUUGGUUAUCUGUGCUGUAAAGUAUCACUCCACAGACUAGCGAUCACUUGUAAGAAAAUCUAGUUUCAUAUAGUAUCGCUAGGGGCGCUAGUAGCAUCUGUAAGCUUGGCUAAUAAAAAAUUAUGAAUCUUUGGCGUCUUCAAUGCCAGGAGAAUUUUUCGCCAUAUCACAUUUGAAACGGUAAAGGCGAUGAAUACUUAUAUUAAAUCUGUUUAAAAGUAACUGAAGGUAGGCUGAAAAAGUAUCAUUUCAUAUUAAGAACAAUACAUUUCGUAAUUAUUAUGUCUUAUUAAUUGCCUGAAAAUAUAAUACCAUAUUAUUGUUCAGCCAAAAUUCGUUGACAAUUAUUAAUGUCAAACUUAGAUGUGUCACAAAUAACGGUUUGUGACUGUUUCCUUGUACCACAGCUUGUUGCUUUUUUGUAUAGAUGUUAUCCGUUCGUGUAUGUUUAAAUAAUAAUUAACGAUUGUAUUGUAAUAUGUAUAUUUCUAAGCAUUGGAAUUAUGAUCUUGUACAUAUUAAGCGUUUGCGCGUAGAAAUUAUUAUAAAAUAAAAACAUAAUGCAUAUAAUGAACGUAAAUUAUUCGCAAUCAUUAUUUGAUACAAAAAAAAAUCUAAUUGAAGAUUUUAUAUGACCAGUACAUUUGAGAUUUGACACUGAAAAAAAAGAGUGGUUUUAAUUUAAAAAUACUGGAUUUGGAUUUAAUUUUAUUUCAAGAAUGAAUAUUUAGCUAUCUUAUAGUACUUACUGCCCCAAGAUCUCAAUUUGCCUGAGAUGAAAAUUGUAAAUGAAUUUUUUUUGGUGUUUCGAAACUAAAUUAUAUGUAUACAUGUUUACUGGUCGUUAGCAUUUUGUUAUCGUAUCUAAUAAUAUAUAACAGUAUCUAUAUCAUCUACUUAUUUGUUUGUAUAUUUACAUAAUUUUCCCGCGAAUACGUUAAGGACAUUUUUAUGAAACAAAUUCAAUAUAAAAGUACGAAAAUAAAAACUAAAAAAAUAUUAGACGGCUAUUAUAGGCUUUUGCCAAAGAAGGUUUUUUAAGCCCGACCAUAUUACGUUAUAGAACCAAGUUAUAUUGAUCCAAAAAAACCGUAAUAAAGUCUCCGCCCAUCUCGCAUAUUGAAAUUUAGUUAAAAAAUGGUUGGAUUAAACAAAUAAGUAAAAAGAAGACCGCGUGCCACUAUUAAUCUUUGUAAUGUUACUUGUUGUCAAAAUGCGUCCCAAUUAGGACGCCUUAGUGUGACGUUUAAGCGGUGUGCGCUCUUAUAUCUGCUCUUUUUUAUUAUUUCCUGAAAUAUUUGUUUUUGAAUUUUAUUUCGCGAUUUUAAACCGUGCAUGGUUAGCUUUAACUGUUAUUUAUUGCAUAUUAAGUUAUCUAUCAUUGUCUAGUUUAGUUUCUAUUCGCUCUAAUUUACAACCGUUAUUUCCUUUUCGCGUGUAAACGAUUGUCCACUUAAUGGGUCGGUGCCAUGUCCUGCCGACUGCCAUGCUAGCUCGGUCACAUGUAAGUACGUAUGUAAGCAAGCACAGUUCACACAGUGACAAGAAAGCUCAUAACAGACCAGUACUUACGCGGAUCGCUCGAUGUCUAAACUCGAAUAUACGCGUUUUACCAUGGAUGUAAUAUAUAUUUCGACCUGAGUGUCUUGCACCCCUAAAAGCCCCGUUUGUACGUACAAGAAUAUCUUGUUUAAUUAUAUAACAUAGAAUAGGAUACAUUACUUGUAUGCACGAUGGCGAUGCUUUGCGGUAACCGCGCGAUUCAAGAGGCAUUAAGUUUGGGAGAAGUUAAAUGUUUUGUAUGUUCUGUUAUUAUCAGCAACUACUUUGCAACAGGUCGUGAACCAUCGUCCGACAAGCAGUCUCACCCGUUGCCCUUCCCCGCGCCCCGCUGAUUUAUUACCCCGUGGGACGGACGCGCAUGUAUUUGUCGGACUAAAGUGGCACCGCGCUCGGUCACACAUUGAGUUUAAACUGAGGUAGGUCAGCGCCAUAGUGGUCUUACAUUGUUGUCGCAAACUGUUAAUAUUAAUAAAUUUUAAAAUGUAUGUGUCCUUUUUUAUUCCUGUUGUUAAAAUUAUGUACUAACGUUAGAUGACAAAAUGUUAUCAUUCAUGUAAUGGUUUACAACAAUUAGGUUAAAACGUAGAUGAGGCCGCUGUUGCGCUGACCUUCCUCCUCCAGUGCGAGCUGUCCGUCUCGGGUGUGUUAAUUGAUGCGCCAUGUGCGUGUUUGGUUUGGGCAACGGGCGCAGUGCUUUAUGAUCGGAGUCCUAAUGCGGUCUGAGUAGCAUUUAAUCAUAUUCUGAUGCGUUGGCUAAAUUUUUUCUUGUUUAUUUCUUUGAAUUCUCUUAAUGGUAAUUAUAAUAAUAAACUUUAUUACAAUAAGAUUCAAUUUGUGUCAUUAAAUUGAUUCACUCUACCCAUAUAAUUGUAGUAGUGUGUGUAAUGGAAUAUAUCCAUUGUACAAUAUUGACAGUACUCUGUGUAUCACGGUGUCCGCCCCGCUUCAAACGUGUUGCCGCCGCCGACCGAAGCGAGCUGUUAUAUUUAUAAUAUCUUCGUAUUGUAAGCUAUUAUGUACAUAGUCACGUGGAGAAUGUUGAUCUCUUGUGUUGUUAUUGAGCGGAGUUUAUUGCGGACGUGGCGUGCCGUGUGAGUCCUACUCAAAACUAAAAAAAAAAUACUUGAUUCGGUUUCUCGUACAAAGACUGUUCUAUAAAUCGCGUUACCCGGGCAUUCGUGGAAAGAUGGGUCUCCUCUCAUUUGUUUUAUUUUGGGUAAAAAUCCUAUUUCAUUGGUGAUCUUACGUAAAUUGAGUGUUAUUGUAAAACAUAUUUUUAUGAAAAACGCGCUCUUAAUGGUCAGUUAAGUUUUCUCUGUAUCAAAUGACUGCAAAAUAUUAUACUUGUCAAAUAUGACAUAAGUUCUGUUAGAAUUGUACCGCCUUCCCUCUACGCUAAUAAUAGAAAUACUUGACUUAUUUAUAAUGUUUACCAAAAAUGGUGCGCUCGCAAUAAACUCUGGUUAAUGCGUCGUUAAAGUUGCGUAUUGCGUGUGCUUCGAUGUAGUUCUGGCGUCUAAUGUAAAUCCGUGUCGCGUAGCUUCUUCUUAACAUUGAGUUGCAUAAAUAAAUUUAUAAAAUGCAUUUUCGAAUUUGUAUUCGUUUCUGUCAUGCCUUUAAUUACAUGUCAUUUUAUGUGUCAUGAAAAUGUAAGCGAAUGAGUUUAUGGGAAAGAGAUUCUCUGAUAAAUUGUGAGCUUCGAAUAGUUGGUUUCGAUGGGAUUACAUUUGAAACUGGCAUUUUACUCAUUAUCAUUUAAAAUACGAGUGUGCGUUAGUUCAACUGACGAAUCAAAAGAUAUAUUUGUUUGCUAGUUUCUAAAGAUAACGACUUAAUGCAAAAUAUAUAUCUUAUAUUCUAAUAAUAAAUUUACUUUCGCAUUGUCCGAGUGUAUUUGUGAUGAAACCCCGCACCUACUCAGAUUUAGUCAGUUGGACUAACAGAAAGUAUUCCGCGACGGUUCUUUAAUUUGUUGUUCGUUUUUCCAUCCAAAAUAAAUACUGUAGUCAGUGUAUGUACAUAUUACAGAUUUGUCAUUUUAACUAGAUGAGACGAAGGUAGUGUUUUCGUGUUGCCUACUUACAAUUACCACAGUAGCGAUGUGUAUGGGCUGAGUGUAUAAAUGUUAUUCAAUACGUAAUGUUACCACAAGUAGAUGUCGAGGUAACAUCGUCAAAUAUAAACAUCAACUGUAUAUAAUUAACUGCUUUGAUAGAUCCCGCGUUUUGUUAAUGUGUGGCAAAUCUUUAAAAAAAUAAGUGCUGUUUUAGCUAAAUACCUACUGAUUGCUUUGUUUCGAUCUGGGCUGUCACCUGUUGUAAAAGCGAGGAUACAGACUACGUAGUGUUUUUUUUUUCACUCUUGUCAAUGGUGUCCAAGGUCAAACUUAUCCAUUCUAGUUUACCAUAACUACAUGUGGCGCUAAACCAAACUAUUAAUAUUAAUUUAUAAGUAUGUAAUAACAUUGUUUAGCACAUUGUUAAUCAUCUAGCGUUAUUCUUUAAAUAUAUGUUAUCUUCUUUUAAUUGAAACAAAGCGCCCACAUAUAAGGUCUUGAGCUUGACUUUGCUGUAAUUUGUAACAUUAUUAUUCAUUUAUAUGAAUAAUAAUAAUAAGUUAUCAAUUAAAUUAAUAAUAUUUAAUGGAAUUACUAUACCUCAAAACAAUUGUCAGCCCUGUCGACGAACGCUUCCAACUACUAUCAAUCAGUACUUAGCAAAAUGGAAAAUCUAUAAAUAAUUAUUUGAAAAGUAUCGCUUGUCUCGUUUUAACUUACUUUUAAAUGUCUAGAAAUUUAUAAUUUUUAUAAGGCUAAAUAACUUGAAACAUAAUAAAAUGUAUCGUUACGAAACUAACUUCCUAUUAAGUUCAUGUUCUAUAUUUUUACUCUGUUGAUGUUGAUCAUAAUCUGUGGUGCCUCGUGUAGCUGCACCGGGUCAGGUUUAUAUUGCUUGUAGUCAAUUCGAUCUUUGAUAAUAUGUAGUUAGAAUGGGGGAUGUAGUCACUAGUUUUUAUUUAUUAAAACUAAUUUUCUGCAAGAGAGUAAAAAUUUAGCGACAUGUUCGCAAUGUAUUAUAUCUGUCUAUAAUACAGUGCUGUAAAUCAACCUUCAAUUUACAGUUAUGUACUUUUUCACUGUUUCCGUUUUCUUAAUAAAAUGUUGAAAAUAA